UACGUAGGGUGCGAGCGUUAAUCGGAAUUAUUGGGUUUAAAGGGUGCGUAGGCGGCUUUAUAAGUCAGUGCUGAAAUAUCCCGGCUUAACCGGGAGGGUGGCAUUGAUACUGCAGAGCUUGAGUGAAGUCGAGGUAGGCGGAAUUGACGGUGUAGCGGUGAAAUGCUUAGAUAUCGUCAAGAACACCGAUAGUGAAGACAGCUUACUAGACUUCAACUGACGCUGAGGCACGAAAGUGUGGGGAUCAAACAGG
rnacentral:rRNA from 1 species